rnacentral:lncRNA from 1 species
UUGGUCCAAAUACACACAAUAAUUUAUAUAUAUUAUGGAAACCAUUUGAAAUCAAACUUUUAAAUUGACUCGAAUUAUAUAUCUUUUAAAUAAAAGUGUUAUUAAAAAAAUAACAAAAUAAUGUUUAAUUUCACAGGACGGGAUUAUAUGGUGGACGGGUUUGGGUUGAUAUUAAUACGGGACAAUAUAUUACGGCUGAAAUCCUAGAAUUAACAAAUCAAAAUAGAAUUAUAUAAUCUUAAACACUAAACAAAAUAAAUAUAACUUAAAAUUUUUAUUUUUUAGUUACAACGCAUGUGAUCCGCGGUGUACAACAAAAAAUAUUAUACACAACAAAUUCAUCAAUUUAUAAAAAGAUAAAAAAAAAAUCCAAUAAUUAACCCGCGGUAUACCGCGGG